AGGGCGGGCGGCGGAAGGCUGUCGGGGCCGCGCUGGGGCCUCGUGGGGAAGCGAAGGUAGUCGCGGGCCCGGCGCUGGCGCCCGGGUCGGGGCGGCGCGCUGUCUUCCGCAGGCGCGGGCGGGCCCGAGAGGGCCCGAGCGGAGUCGCUGAGGCAGAGGAGCGGGGCGAGCGGCAGAGUAUAGAGGCUAGAGCUACAGAGACGACCAUUGUUGCUGUUGAAAUUCCCAAAGAAGAACGUAUUAUGCAGGGCAAAAGUUCUUAAGUUGUGAUGACAGAAGACAAUGGGGUGGAGAUCACAUGGCUAUCUUUACAAAGUAGGGCUGGAAGCCAGUGCAUCCUUUAGGCAGCUGAUGUGUCCAUAUAUGGUAUUACAAAACGGUGAGACAGUACAGGGACUUGUUGCAAAAUCUUACUGGAUUUUGGAAUCUCCUAUGUCACAGAGCAGUUUGCAGUGCUCGGGAAGAGCUACAUGUGACAGCAGCUGCCAUUUUUUGAGGACAUGUUCCAUCCUGCCAGAUGUCUUUUUCACAUAAUAGUAUGUUUUCUUCAUCACCACGGCAACGUACUUCACUCCAGUAAACAGGGAUAAUGCCCAGUCCGGCAAAUGACAAAAGUCUUAUUUUAUGACGGAACAUACAUAUAUGUUUCAUGUGCAAGUUGAUCAUAGGGAAUUGCAAGCUGACCAAUGUAAUCUGCAGUCAGAAGCAUGGAACUGCCUCCCCCACUUCCUCAUUUUUCGAUAGGGAAAAAUGUUGGCAUUUUAUCAAGGUGAGGAAAAUAAAUGUGUGCAAAUCUAACUCCAUCUUUGUAGACUCUGCCAUUCCCAAGCCUAGUUUUUCCAUCUCUGCCAUAUAAAGGUGUUCUUCCACUGAAACUAAACUCUCAGAAAUGCUGUAUUUUCACUGUUUAAUUCUGCUGUUACAUUUUAACACACAAAACCACCUGCACCUCUAUGCAUGUGACAAAGUGACUUCCUUCUGCAUUCCCCCUCGGGCACUAGCAGUUCUGGAGAAGAACAUUUGAAUUACUUCUCAGAAAAUAAGACUCAGUUAAGUAUAUUUAUUGGAGAUUCUAGGUAUCUGGAGUCAAGUAGAUUGUGUUAGCAUCCCACUGACAGAUGAGUAGAGCUAAUGCAAUAAUAUCUACUCUAGUUUGCAUGCAAUGCUCUGAGAAGUGCACACUGCCUCCCUGCCACAUCUUCAACUGCUUAAUGUGCUUAUCAAGCCUUCAUUGCCCCAACAGCAAACUUGAUAAGGGAAGGUUGUGAAUACAGGGAUGCUGCCCUUUUCCUAGGCCAAGGCUGCCCUCCUUUGCCCAAUGCCUUUCUCAGCACUGGUCAGAAAGGGGAAGGAUCCUCUGUAGGACAGGUGUAUUGGCCCCACUGGAGGUAGAGACAAGGGCACAGAACCACAAAGCAAGCCUGCUAGAUACCUUUAGGACACUUACUGUGGUCUCAGGACAACUCUGUAUAUACAUAUUCAGUCCUAUAAUGAAGAAUGCAGACCUGCUCUCUUGACAGAAGCUCAUUCAUAUAUAGAUAAAUAGAUACUCCAAAGAAAUCCAUGCUUAUUUUGGGCCAAGGUUAUGGACGGUCAAUUCAAGUUGUUUACAAAGAGUUUGGUGAUUUUAGUUGCCCUUGGAUCUGCCCAAGUCAGAGCCUUUCCUAUCUGCUGCUACUGUUUAGAAGAGAUUAAGUUAUACUUGGAAAUGAAAGGAAGAAAGGGUAUCCAAUAAGUGCUGCUGAGACUUGCUCCGCAACGCCUGCCAUAUAGGCUAAAGAUGAGACAUGAGAGAAAAAAAAGGCGGAGGAAUUGGCUCUGAGCCAAUUUUUAAUUAACUCCAAAAAACAGAAGAGCUUCAAAUAACUUGCACUGUAAAGAGCAAGAGCAUCCCACCUACUGCUUUUACUAUACCAUUCCCACAUCCGGAGCUGCUGAGUAACUUCAAACCCUAUUUUAUUUUCUACAUUUCACUUAGAACAAGUAUUGUCACUUUGUGUGGUUGAAUUGCAAAUAGAAUGGGGAUCACUUAACACUUUUGCUGUAUGUGUAAAUAUUGCAGCAUUGUUUUUCUGGUGUUGGCUAAAGGUAUGCCGCUAUUUUCUUUGUAAAUGCAUUCAAAGGUUUGUAACUUGUCUGUAAAUGUAAAUUUUGAAAAGGAGGAUGAGAAUUAAAAGUUGCCCAUGCCUUUCA